rnacentral:rRNA from 1 species
GAUGAACGCUGGCGGCGUGCCUAAUACAUGCAAGUCGAGCGAACGGACGAGAAGCUUGCUUUUCUGAUGUUAGCGGCGGACGGGUGAGUAACACGUGGAUAACCUACCUAUAAGACUGGGAUAACUUCGGGAAACCGGAGCUAAUACCGGAUAAUAUUUUGAACCGCUUGGUUCAAAGGUGAAAGACGGUUUUGCUGUCGCUUAUAGAUGGACCCGCGCUGCAUUAGCUAGUUGGUAAGGUAACGGCUUACCAAGGCAACGAUGCAUAGCCGACCUGAGAGGGUGAUCGGCCACACUGGAACGGAGACACGGUCCAGACUCCUACGGGAGGCAGCAGUAGGGAAUCUUCCGCAAUGGGCGAAAGCCUGACGGAGCAACGCCGCGUGAGUGAUGAAGGUCUUCGGAUCGUAAAACUCUGUUAUUAGGGAAGAACAUAUGUGUAAGUAACUGUGCACAGCUUGACGGUACCUAAUCAGAAAGCCACGGCUAACUACGUG